AAAUGUCACCAAGGACUAUUUAUCUUCUUGGAGUAAAGCUGGACGUAUUGAGUCUUUGAAGAGCCUGAAACAGCGUCUGCAAGACUCUGGUGAGAACAAAGUUCACCUCAAAAUGAAAACCAAGAA